AGACCCGAAACCCGGUGAUCUAGCCAUGGGCAGGUUGAAGGUUGGGUAACACUAACUGGAGGACCGAACCGACUAAUGUUGAAAAAUUAGCGGAUGACCUGUGGCUGGGGGUGAAAGGCCAAUCAAACCGGGAGAUAGCUGGUUCUCCCCGAAAGCUAUUUAGGUAGCGCCUCGUGAAUUCAUCUCCGGGGGUAGAGCACUGUUUCGGCUAGGGGGCCAUCCCGGCUUACCAACCCGAUGCAAACUGCGAAUACCGGAGAAUGUUAUCACGGGAGACACACGGCGGGUGCUAACGUCCGUCGUGAAGAGGGAAACAACCCAGACCGCCAGCUAAGGUCCCAAAGUCAUGGUUAAGUGGGAAACGAUGUGGGAAGGCCCAGACAGCCAGGAUGUUGGCUUAGAAGCAGCCAUCAUUUAAAGAAAGCGUAAUAGCUCACUGGUCGAGUCGGCCUGCGCGGAAGAUGUAACGGGGCUAAACCAUGCACCGAAGCUGCGGCAGCGAACGUAUCACCCAAGACAACUUUACGGAGUUGACGAUUGACGGAGCGAAGCGACGUCAAAGCGUUCAUUAAAGUCGAGUUGGCUUAGGGAUACGUUCGUUGGGUAGGGGAGCGUUCUGUAAGCCUGUGAAGGUGUGUCGUGAGGCAUGCUGGAGGUAUCAGAAGUGCGAAUGCUGACAUAAGUAACGAUAAAGCGGGUGAAAAGCCCGCUCGCCGGAAGACCAAGGGUUCCUGUCCAACGUUAAUCGGGGCAGGGUGAGUCGACCCCUAAGGCGAGGCCGAAAGGCGUAGUCGAUGGGAAACGGGUUAAUAUUCCCGUACUUGGUG
rnacentral:rRNA from 2 species